rnacentral:lncRNA from 1 species
UGCUCAGUCCCUUUCACUCCAGUUACAGGCCCGAGGAUCUUGGUCAGUAACACGUCACAUAGAGAUCAAGUUUUUGACAUCCUGGUUUCUGCAAUGAAGGAUUUGGCAAUCAAGGUAUGCUUUUUUUGUGUCCAAACAAACUUAAUAAUACUUUGGAUUUCAUAAAUUCUUUUUCAACUCGUCCAGUUGUGAGUAUGAGUCUUUUAUUUUUAGUAAUUGUUGCUCAUUGGUUAGGGAAGAUUCUGCAUAUUACAGUCAAUAUUUCUGUUAUCCUUUAUUUCACGGAAGGUGUCAUUUCUUAGAGUCUGACUUGAUGAAGAUUUGUAAGUUAUAAGAAGCCAGAAGAUAAAUCUGUUCCGUGGAGAUCUCUUAAGUUCACGUCACUUUCUAGUGGUGCAGUGCUACCUUUAAUUGUGAAAGCUUGCUAGACAAGCCCAGAGGGCAAUUAAGGAAUUUUAAAUUCUACCUGUUCCCUAGGUGCAUCCUAUGAGACAAAGCAUGUCAAAUAACUUGGUUGAGAAUUAAGGUUAUGAAUUUGAUAAAUCAAACUCCCUAAGAAGGAAAACCCACAUGAUUAGUGUGAUCAAAGAAACGUGUGUGCAUGGCUGACAAAGGCCGAGGCAGAUAGCAUAAGACAUGCUUAAUGUGUUGUUGGGGUGUCAUUCUUGUAAAGUGUGACCACUACCAUCCUGGUCAAAUUGGAAAAUGAUUUCUUAUAGGGCCAUUAAAAUUUCCAAAAUUCUCAUUUGGUUGAAGUUACUUCUUGAGUGAAGCUUAUGAAUUAGCUCCUCUCUGUUGCUUUUGUCCUGACAUAUUUCCUUCUUUUGGCUUCUUGAAUUGUACAACUGUUGAGUUACACAGUUUAACUAGAUAUUAAAUAAUUCGUGCUACGUGGUUAGCUGGAGAAUCUAUUCCUCAAUUUCAUAUUUUGUCAUAUGGCCCAUACCUUUAUUAGUAAAAAUUAAUCCUUCUGGAACUCUUAUUAAGUUCAGUCGACAAUCAUAGUUUGGUAUGCAUUAGUUAAUUUCAUAUGCCUAAAAGUACUCCAUUUUCUGUAUAAUGAAAUUUUACCUUGACAGUUUAACGUUUCAUCUCUACAUAUUACUUUUCCCACUGCAAAUGAGUGGCACAAGUUGGAGAAGAAAGGUUUUCUGCAAAGGAUUGGAAUGCAGUAUCAUUGGAAAA